CACGCUCUAACAUUAGGAUGUACACACAGACACAUUAACAUUUAGAUGUACACACAGACACAUUAACAUUUGGUUCUAAACAAAGACACACACUAAUAUUUAGAUGUACACAAAGACACAAUAACAAUUAGAUGUACACACAGACACACUAACAUUUAGAUGUACACACAGACACAUUAGUAUUCAGAAGUACACAAAAACACACAAACAUCUGGUUCUGCACAAAGACACAUUAAUAUUUAGAUGUACACACAGAUCCACUAACAAUUAGAUGUACACACAGACACAUCCUGAUGAUCCUCCUCACGUCUCUUCUCCUUGUCUGCAGACCAACAGGACGCCAUCAGGACGCCACGUCAACGGGACGCCAUCAGGACGCCAUCAGGACGCCAUCAGGACGUCAUGUCAACCCCUCAGGAGCAAAUCCAGAUCUACGCAUGACACACACACACACCCACACUCACACACACACAGAUCUACUCAGAGACACACAUAUUGUGAGAUGUACACACAGACACACUAACAUUUAGAUGUACACACAGACACACUAACAAUUAGAUGUAACACACAUACACACUAACAUUUGGUUAUAAACAAAGACACGCAUUAACAUAUAGAUGUACACAAAGACACAUUAAUAUUUAGAUGUACACACAGACACACUAACAUUUGGUUCUAAACAAAGACACACAUUAAUAUUUAGAUGUACACAAAGACACAAUAACAAUUAGAUGUACACACAGACACACUAACAUUUAGAUGUACACACAGACACAUUAGUAUUCAGAAGUACACAAAAACACACAAACAUCAGAGACACACUAACAUUUGGUUCUAAAAAAGACACACACUAACAUUUAGAUGUACACAAAGACACAUUAAUAUUUUGAUGUACACACAGACACACUAACAAUUAGUUGUACACACAGACACACUAACAAUUCGAUAUUCACACAGACACACUAACAAUUAGAUGUACACACAUACACACUAACAUUUGGUUCUAAACAAAGACACUUACUAACAUUUAGAUGUACACAAAUACACAUUAAUAUGUAGAUGUACACACAGACACACUAACAUUUAGAUGUACACAAAGACACAUUAAUAUUUAGAUGUACACACAGACACACUAACAUCUGGUUCUAAACAAAGACACACACUAAUAUUUAGAUGUACACAAAGACAUAUUAAUAUUUAGAUCUACACACAGACACACUGACAAUUCGAUGUUCACACAGACACACUAACAAUUCGAUGUACACACAGACACAUUAGUAUUCAGAAGUACACAAAAACACACAAACAUCUGGUUCUGCACAAAGACACAUUAAUAUUUAAAUGUACACACAGACCCACUAACAAUUAGAUGUACACACAGACACAUCCUGAUGAUCCUCCUCACGUCUCUUCUCCUUGUCUGCAGACCAACAGGACGCCAUCAGGACGCCAUCAGGACGCCACGUCAACGGGACGCCAUCAGGACGCCGUCAGGACUCCAUCAAGACGUCAUGUCAACCCCUCAGGAGCAAAUCCAGAUCUACGCAUGACACACACACACACCCACACUCACACACACAGAUCUACUCAGAGACACAAUAUGUAGAUGUACACACAGACACACUAACAUUUGGUUCUAAACAAAGACACACACUAAUAUUUAGAUGUACACAAAGACAUAUUAAUAUUUAGAUGUACACACAGACACAUUAAUAUUUUGAUGUACACACAGACACACUAACAAUUAGUUGUACACACAGACACACUAACAAUUCGAUAUUCACACAGACACACUAACAAUUAGAUGUACACACAUACACACUAACAUUUGUUUCUAAACAAAGACACUUACUAACAUUUAGAUGUACACAAAUACACAUUAAUAUGUAGAUGUAUACACAGACACACUAACAUUUAGAUGUACACACAGACACAUUUAUAUUCAGAAGUACACAAAAACACACAAACAUCUGGUUCUGCACAAAGACACAUUAAUAUUUAAAUGUACACACAGACCCACUAACAAUUAGAUGUACACACAGACACAUCCUGAUGAUCCUCCUCACGUCUCUUCUCCUUGUCUGCAGACCAACAGGACGCCAUCAGGACGCCAUCAGGACGCCACGUCAACGGGACGCCAUCAGGACGCCGUCAGGACUCCAUCAAGACGUCAUGUCAACCCCUCAGGAGCAAAUCCAGAUCUACGCAUGACACACACACACACCCACACUCACACACACAGAUCUACUCAGAGACACAAUAUGUAGAUGUACACACAGACACACUAACAUUUGGUUCUAAACAAAGACACACACUAAUAUUUAGAUGUACACAAAGACAUAUUAAUAUUUAGAUGUACACACAGACACAUUAAUAUUUUGAUGUACACACAGACACACUAUCAAUUAGUUGUACACACAGACACACUAACAAUUCGAUAUUCACACAGACACACUAACAAUUAGAUGUACACACAUACACACUAACAUUUGGUUCUAAUUCAAAGACACUUACUAACAUUUAGAUGUACACAAAUACACAUUAAUAUGUAGAUGUAUACACAGACACACUAACAUUUAGAUGUACACACAGACACAUUAGUAUUCAGAAGUACACAAAAACACACAAACAUCUGGUUCUGCACAAAGACACAUUAAUAUUUAAAUGUACACACAGACCCACUAACAAUUAGAUGUACACACAGACACAUCCUGAUGAUCCUCCUCACGUCUCUUCUCCUUGUCUGCAGACCAACAGGACGCCAUCAGGACGCCACGUCAACGGGACGCCAUCAGGACGCCGUCAGGACUCCAUCAGGACGUCAUGUCAACCCCUCAGGAGCAAAUCCAGAUCUACGCAUGACACACACACACACCCACACUCACACACACACAGAUCUACUCAGAGACACAAUAUGUAGAUGUACACACAGACACACUAACAUCUGGUUCUAAACAAAGACACACACUAAUAUUUAGAUGUACACAAAGACAUAUUAAUAUUUAGAUGUACACACAGACACACUAACAUUUAGAUGUACACAAAGACACAUUAAUAUUUAGAUGUACACACAGACACACUAACAUCUGGUUCUAAACAAAGACACACACUAAUAUUUAGAUGUACACAAAGACAUAUUAAUAUUUAGAUCUACACACAGACACACUGACAAUUCGAUGUUCACACAGACACACUAACAAUUCGAUGUACACACAUACACACUAACAAUUAGAUGUACACACAGACACACUAACAACAUUAACAUGUUAAUAACUUUUCUUCUUUUCUCUCUUCUCAGGAACUGCUUCAGAUGUUUUCUCAAUGAUUGUGUUAUUAUUAUUGUUAAAUAUGUCGUCUGUUUAUUAUUUUAACAAUGAAAAUAAAUUUGUAAUAAAAAUAAAACCAAAUGAAUCCG
ensembl:lncRNA